rnacentral:rRNA from 1 species
CAAUAGCGUAUAUUACAGUUGUUGCGGUAAAAAAGCUCGUAGUUGGAUUUCUACCGAAGAUAGCCGGUCGGGUCUUCGACCUUGUAUCUGGUUUUGUCUUUGGUAUCCUCAUAGGGAACGUUUCUGCGCUUUAUUGCGUGGUGCGGUAUCUAUGACUUUUACUUUGAGGAAAUUAGAGUGUUCACGGCGGGCAAACGCCUUGAAUAUAUUAGCAUGGAAUAAUAACAUAGGAUCUUCGUCCUAUUUUGUUGGUUUCUAGGGCUAAGAUAAUGAUUAAUAGGGAUAAUUGGGGGCAUCUGUAUCAACGCGUCAGAGGUGGAAUUCUUGGAUUGCGUUGCGACGAACUACUGCGAAAGCAUUUGCCAAGGAUGUUUUCAUUGA